GACGAACGCUGGCGGCGUGCCUAAUACAUGCAAGUAGAACGCUGAAGAGAGGAGCUUGCUCUUCUUGGAUGAGUUGCGAACGGGUGAGUAACGCGUAGGUAACCUGCCUUGUAGCGGGGGAUAACUAUUGGAAACGAUAGCUAAUACCGCAUAACAAUGGAUGACACAUGUCAUUUAUUUGAAAGGGGCAAUUGCUCCACUACAAGAUGGACCUGCGUUGUAUUAGCUAGUAGGUGAGGUAACGGCUCACCUAGGCGACGAUACAAAGCCGACCUGAGAGGGUGAUCGGCCAAACUGGGACUGAGACACGGCCCAGAACUCUAAGGGGGGCAGCAGUAGGGAAUCUUCGGCCAUGGGGGCAACCCUGACCGAGCAACGGCGCGUGAGUGAAGAAGGUUUUCGGAUCGUAAAGAUCUGUUGUAAGUCAAGAACGAGUGGGAGAGUGGAAAGUUCACACUGUGACGGUAGCUUACCAGAAAGAGACGGCUAACUACGUG
rnacentral:rRNA from 1 species